rnacentral:rRNA from 1 species
AAACCAACAGGGAUUGCCUCAGUAGCGGCGAGUGAAGCGGCAAAAGCUCAGAUUUGAAAUCGUGUUUCGGCACGAGUUGUAGAUUGCAGGUUGGAGUCUUUGUGGAAGCGUGUGUCUAAGUCCCUUGGAACAGGGUGCCAUUGAGGGUGAGAGCCGUCAGACGCGUGCGGAAGCUGUAAGGCCCUUCUGACGAGUCGAGUUGUUUGGGAAUGCAGCUCUAAGUGGGUGGUAAAUUCCAUCUAAGGCUAAAUAUUGGCGAGAGACCGAUAGCGAACAAGUACUGUGAAGGAAAGAUGAAAAGCACUUUGAAAAGAGAGUGAAACAGCACGUGAAAUUGUUGAAAGGGAAGGGUAUUGGGCUCGACAUGGGAUUUGCGCACCGCUGCUCCUUGUGGGCGGCGCUCUGUGCUUUUCCUGGGCCAGCAUCGGUUUUUGCCGCAGGAGAAGGCGUGCUGGAAUGUGGCUCUUCGGAGUGUUAUAGCCAGUGCGAGAUGCUGCGUGCGGGGACCGAGGACUGCGACAUCUGUCUCGGAUGCUGGCACAACGGCGCAAUACCG